GCAUGUGUAUGAAAAAAGAGUGAGGCUUUAACAACUCGAUUUAACAUGAAAUGUAUGAUAAAUAAUCUAAUAAUGCAGAAAUAAUGAACAAAAUGGAAAUAGUAAGAGAAAAAUAAAGAUUAUUUUAAAAAUAAAAAUUAAAUGUAAGUAGAAUAGAGGUGAAAAGAGUAAACAAACACUAAGGAAGAUAAAUCAAGAGUCAAAAAUGGAGUUGGAGGCAGCGCACGGGCGUGGCAGGGAGGCUUUUUAACUUGCAACGGCUAG
rnacentral:lncRNA from 1 species